ensembl:lncRNA
CCUGGGUCUACAUUCCAGGAACCUGGGACCCUGAAAUGUCUGCAUGGCUCAGCAAGUCAAGAACUUUAUGUGAAAAUAGCACCCAGGCUGAUGAAAACACUCCAUGGUGGUCACCCCCAGAACUUCUCCAGAUCCUGUUGCCAGAGGCCCAAAAUGGUUUCCACGGCGGCCCUGUCGGAAGGCCACAGAUGGACACCAUGAUAUCUGUGAGAGCCUCACACUUCCUGAGCAGUCUAAUUUAUACUCAAGCAAUCAAGCUUCCGGUUUUUUCACAUUGUGCUUGAGCAGCCAAAACGCAUCAGAGAACAAGUACUCUGUCGAUGUCAAAACCAGAACCAUGCGCAUUUGGCCAUAAUAUUUUAAUAACAAAUGAAACGUGAAUCCACUUGCCACACGGAGGACGGGCUGGAGGAGUUAACUCCAUCUGAAGAAUAAGCUGGCUUACUGUCAAACAGGAUGAAAUUGUGUUCCUAGGAAUGCAUGUCGUAUUAAACGUAAAAGAUGCAGAAAGAAAUAAUGAUGUGGAAAAUGUAUACAGUACAAAUAGAGUUUUAAAAUAUUAAUAGAACGCGGGCAGCCACGGAUGGUAAAUCCUCCAGCUCGACUGUUCUGAGAAGCUUGAUAUUUAGCGACACCUAGUGGUGCCCGAUAUGAAAGCCUUUAUGGGUGUUCUUUUGAGGUAAAACAAUGAAUUUACCAAACUUGCCUACUGGCUGGCACAUAGUUUGGGGUUGGUGUUGUUUUAAGUGAACUCUCAUUCACUUGCCCAUUCCCCGUGGACCAGGACCUGAAGAAUCACCUGCGAUGGCAGAAUAUGGUAACAAGAGUCACGGAGAACAGACUGCGUUCAGGCCUGUUGUAUUUUUCAUUUUUACUUAAAUUGGUGCUAACAUAAGCCUGCUUUCCUAAAACACAGUAGAUAGCUGCAGCAGCAAAAACACAGCAUUUGCAGGCCAACAAUCUAAGACACGUAGCCUGGUACAGGCCGGAUGUUAAAGAGACAGUGGCACCAAAGAAUAACCUCAUUCAAAGAAUGAACAGCAUAUUCCAUUUUACAAUAAUGACUUUUAAAAGAUGCUUUGAUCCCAAACUAGUAGCCUUUCCCCCUUUUAUCCAAGGACUUACUGUGCUUUUAUAUCAUCCAAACCUGGCUGGCAUAAACUCUGUCUUAGAGGUCCUCCUGGACAAUGAAGCAGCACGACAAUGUGCCUUUGAAAACUCCAAGUGUCCACAUGGCCACACACUUCAGUUUCUCAGUCACUCUUUCUGAGGAGGCUUUUAUUAUUGAAGAAUCAGUAAAGAUCUCUGAGUAAACUGAUAGUGAAAGGAACAAGGGUCAUGGAGUGGACAGAGAA